UAGUUGGUGAGGUAGUGGCUCACCAAGGUGUUAACGGGUAACGGGGGAUCAGGGUUCGAUUCCGGAGAGGGAGCCUGAGAAACGGCUACCACAUCUAAGGAAGGCAGCAGGCGCGCAAAUUACCCAAUCCAGACUUUGGGAGGUAGUGACGAGAAAUACCGGAGUAGACCGUAUAUUGGUUCACUAUCGGAAUGAACGUAAUUUAAUACCUUCGAUGAGUAGCUACUGGAGGGCAAGUCUGGUGCCAGCAGCCGCGGUAAUUCCAGCUCCAGUAGUGUAUAUCAAAAUUGUUGCGGUUAAAACGCUCGUAGUUGGAUUACAAAAGCUCUCUGGCGGCCAAAUCUAGGUUUGGUCGCCGUGGGGUUUUUUUAUCGCGAGAGCCGCAUGUGGGAUUAACUUCUUGUGUGCGGUCACUUGCGAGGUGUGCCUUGAAUAAAGCACAGUGCUCAAAGCAGGCGAUAGCUCGAAUGUUAUAGCAUGGAACGAUUAUGUUGAUCUUGUCGACUGUUGGUUGUUGACAUUGGUCUCGAUUAAAAGGGACAUUUGAGGGCGUUAGUACUUGGUGGCGAGGGGUGAAAUCCUUAGACCCAUCAAAGACUAACUAAUGCGAAAGCAUUCGCCAAGAGUGUUUUCAUUAAUCAAGAACGAAAGUAGGAGGUUCGAAGACGAUCAGAUACCGUCCUAGUUCCUUACAGUAAACUAUGCCAACAUGGGAUUAGCCCGGUUUAAACCAGGUUGGGCCCUCAGUGAAAAUAAGUGUUUCGGUUCUGGGGAGAGUGCGUACGCAAGUGCCAAAUUUAAAGAAAUUGACGGAAUGGCACCACCAGGAGUGGAGCCUGCGGCUUAAUUUGAUUCAACACGGGGAAACUCACCAGGUCCAGACAUUGGUAGGAUUGACAGACUGAGAGAUCUUUCAUGAUUUGAUGAUUGGUGGUGCAUGGCCGUUCUUAGUUGGUGGAGUGAUCUGUCAGGUUUAUUCCGGUAACGAGCGAGACCACGAUCUUUAAUUGAUUACGGUUAAAUUGUCUUGACCGAUCUUAAAGAGACCACCGGAGUGAAGCCGGGGGAAGCGUGGCAAUAACAGGUCUGUGAUGCCCUUCGAUGUUCUGGGCUGCACGUGUGCUACAAUGAUAGUGACAACAAGUUCCUGCUCUGAGAGGAGUGGGGAAUCUUGAAAAUCGCUGUCUUGCUUUGGACUGAGCCUUGUAAUAAUUGCUCACGAAAGAGGAAUUCCUCGUAAGCGC
rnacentral:rRNA from 1 species